rnacentral:rRNA from 1 species
CUACACGACCGUACCGCAAACCGACACUGGUGCGCGAGAUGAGUAUUCUAAGGCGCUUGAGAGAACUCAGGAGAAGGAACUCGGCAAAUUGACACCGUAACUUCGGAAGAAGGUGUGCCUUUAGUAGGUGAACCUGUACAAGGGGAGCCCAAUGAGGUUGCAAAAAAUCGGUGGCUGCGACUGUUUAAUAAAAACACAGCACUCUGCAAACACGAAAGAGGACGUAUAGGGUGUGACGCCUGCCCGGUGCUGGAAGAUUAAAUGAUGGGGUGCAAGCUCUUGAUUGAAGUCCCAGUAAACGGCGGCCGUAACAAUAACGGUCCUAAGGUAGCGAAAUUCCUUGUCGGGUAAGUUCCGACCUGCACGAAUGGCGUAACGAUGGCCACACUGUCUCCUCCUGAGACUCAGCGAAGUUGAAAUGUUUGUGAUGAUGCAAUCUCCCCGCGGAAAGACGGAAAGACCCCAUGAACCUUUACUGUAGCUUUGUAUUGGACUUUGAACAGAUCUGUGUAGGAUAGGUGGGAGGCUUUGAAGUGUGGUCGCUAGAUCGCAUGGAGCCAACGUUGAAAUACCACCCUGGUGUGUUUGAGGUUCUAACCUAGGCCCGUAAUCCGGGUCGGGGACAGUGCAUGGUAGGCAGUUUGACUGGGGCGGUCUCCUCCCAAAGCGUAACGGAGGAGUUCGAAGGUACGCUAGGUACGGUCGGACAUCGUGCUAAUAGUGCAAUGGCAUAAGCGUGCUUAACUGCGAGACUGACAAGUCGAGCAGAUGCGAAAGCAGGACAUAGUGAUCCGGUGGUUCUGUAUGGAAGGGCCAUCGCUCAACGGAUAAAAGGUACUCUGGGGAUAACAGGCUGAUACCGCCCAAGAGUUCAUAUCGACGGCGGUGUUUGGCACCUCGAUGUCGGCUCAUCUCAUCCUGGGGCUGUAGCCGGUCCCAAGGGUAUGGCUGUUCGCCAUUUAAAGAGGUACGUGAGCUGGGUUUAAAACGUCGUGAGACAGUUUGGUCCCUAUCUUCCGUGGGCGCUGCAGAUUUGAGGAAGCCUGCUCCUAGUACGAGAGGACCGGAGUGGACACACCUCUGGUGUAUCGGUUGUCACGCCAGUGGCAUUGCCGAGUAGCUAUGUGUGGAAGAGAUAACCGCUGAAAGCAUCUAAGCGGGAAACUCGUUUCAAGAUGAGAUCUGCCGGGGCCUUGAGCCCCCUAAAGAGUCGUUCAAGACCAGGACGUUGAUAGGUCGGGUGUGGAAGCGCAGUAAUGCGUUAAGCUAACCGAUACUAAUUGCUCGUGCGGCUUGACC